rnacentral:lncRNA from 1 species
GCCUCGCCUUACCUCAAGCAGCCGCCAGCGCUGACGACCAGCAGCAACCCAGCGGCCUCCGCCGGCCUGCACCCCGGUGUGUCGUCUUACUCGCUGGAGCAGAGCUACCUGCACCAGAACGCCCGAGAGGACCUCUCAGUGGGUCUGCCUCGUUACCAGCAUCACUCCACGCCUGUGUGCGACAGAAAGGAUUUUGUCCUCAAUUUCAAUGGCAUUUCUUCUUUCCACCCCUCUGCCAGUGGGUCUUACUAUCACCACCACCACCAGAGCGUGUGUCAGGACAUUAAGCCCUGUGUCAUGUGAGCGAUGGAGACCACCCGGAGGCCAGGCUGCCCUCUCUCCUCUUGGCUGGGGCAGAUAGGCGCUGGGGUGACUGGAUAAUACACUCCCGAACGCAUGGGCAAAGGGACAGCAGUAAGUAGCACCCCCACCGCUUAGCAGAACCCCAGCAUGGCCUUGACCCUGCAUCUGCCACUGGAGGAGGGGAGCCCCCAGCAGGGGAGAGUGGACCCCAACCGAGGAGAAGUAGCCAAGCGUAAAACAUAAACUUAUACCUCUGGGACCUUCGUUGCCUUCUGUAAUCAGGGUCUGAAAAAGGCAGACAAGUCAUGUAUGUGUGUUUUUCUUUAUCUAUGAAAACUUGUGUGCUUUUGAAAAAGGCAGUGUGCAAAGCACAGGAAUUCAAGAAGCCUCAUCAUGCUGCCCAGAUAAGUAGGACAUGGUUCGCCUCAGACACUCCGUUAGGAUACAGGUGCCGCAGAACACUAUGAGGAAACCGCGCAGGCCCAGCAUGUCUAAUUUCAGAAAGCGGUUUUCAGUAUUGGGACAAUAGAGUGUUUUUUACAAGGUUGUUUUCUACCCAUAUUUUAAAAAUAUUUUUAUGAUCUUUGUGUAUACUCACACCUUGCUUGUAUUUUAAAAGGAGGAU